ensembl:rRNA 5S_rRNA 5S ribosomal RNA
GCCUACAGCCAAACCAUCUUGAAGUAUGAGCUUGUCAAAUCUCUUAAGCUAAACGGGGUUGGCCCUGGUUAGCGUUAUGGAUGGGAGACCUCCAAGGAAAGCCCAGUUUCUGUGGGAG